GACGUAGGGCGCGAGCGUUGUCCGGAUUUAUUGGGCGUAAAGAGCUCGUAGGCGGCUUGUCGCGUCGUCCGUGAAAACUCGGGGCUUAACUCCGGGCCUGCAGUGGGUACGGGCUGACUAGAGUGCGGUAGGGGAGACUGGAAUUCCUGGUGUAGCGGUGAAAUGCGCAGAUAUCAGGAGGAACACCGGUGGCGAAGGCGGGUCUCUGGGCCGUAACUGACGCUGAGGAGCGAAAGCGUGGGGAGCGAACAGG
rnacentral:rRNA from 1 species